GGAGUUAGUAGCGCACCCACGAACACAUCACCAAGGCUUUACAUUCCUCAGCUACAUGUUCGACUCAUCGUGCCCGUGAUUCUACAAUCGAGGAUUUAUCACUCGGAAUACUUAGGUAAUUCACCUAUUCCAUGGCUUUUACUUCUUGUCAAUGCCAGUGACUCCUUUUUUCUUUUUCUUUUUUUUUUUUUUUGUGUAACAACAAAGGAAGAUUACUCGUCUCAACAAACAUGGUGGAUACUUAAUUUGAAGAAGGUGCAACUGCAAACUUCCACGAGAGUCUUGUUAUGGCUUGAGGAGUACAAUGAAGAAGGUGCAACCGAAAACUCCCAUGAUAGUUUUAUCAUGGCAUGAGGAGUAAAAUGAAUAAGGUGCCACCAAGAAGUUAAAGAAGGUGCAACUGCAAAUUCCCACGAGAGCCUUAUCAUGGCUUGAGAAGUACAAUGAAGAAGGUGCAAUCAAGAAGUUAAAGAAAGUGCAACCGCAAACUCCCAUACAAAUCUUGUCAUGGCUUGAGGAGUACAAUGAAAAAAGUGCAACCAACCACUUCAAUGAGAACUUACCAAAACUCGAGAAAUCUAUUGAAAAAGACGCAACUACCCACUUCAAUGAGGGCUUAUCAAAACUUGAGAAGUCUGUUCACCUAUCUUUAAUGAUGAUGGCAAUGAAGAAGACUCCAAGUUGGAGGUACGGCAAACUCAUCAACACUUAUGGUUGAAUGAUAGACUCUUUCAAGAUCAGAUGUCGAUGAGUAGUUCUACUAAGAUGAAGAUGUGACAAACCUGUCCAAGACUACGGUGAUGGAGGGAAGUUCUACCCAGUUGGAAGAAUGGUGCAAACUUUACAUUCCUGUCAAUGGGGAAAUACUUCACCAAGAUAGAGACAUGAUGGUUCCAUCCAAAACCAUGACGAUGGAAAGAAACUCAAACAGGAUGGAAGCAUAAUGAACCUAUCCAAAUUCUUGUAAAAGCAACAACGUUUUUUUCAAGAAACAAAAGCAAUCCAAUCAAUGGUCCACCACUCUGAAGUGAAUGCCAAUGAGCAAGGAGAGAAUUUUUUCUUUUAGGGUUGUGACUGGAUUUAGAAGUUACCCCCUAAGUUGCCUACGUAUCCGAAAAGAGAAUCAAGUCACACGUAGUUCCUACCAUUCCCAGUUUAAAUUCAUGCUGGUCAGGAGCAACAUGCAAUUUAAACUCUUGCUUCAUGGAGUAGUUGGAACAACUUUUGAUUUGAAGACAUUUUUUUUUUUUACUCGUGUUAAGGAGAUUUGAUAUAAUUUGCAACAUGGAGCAGUUUAUACUCUUGUCGAGGAGGUUUCGAGUAACUUCAGAUUUGAAAACAAUUUAUACUCAUGUCAGGAAACAUGUACAAUUUAGAGAUAUUUUAUACUCAUGUCUAGGAGAUCUGCAACUUGGAGACAAUUUAUACUAGUCCCAAGGAGAUUUGUAACUUAGA